ensembl:lncRNA
GGGAUGGAACAGGGAGAAGGGAGGGAUGGAGAAAGGAGGGAUGGAAUAAGAGAAGAGGGAAGGAUGGAAUAAGAGAAGAGGGAAGGCUGGAGCAGAGGGAGAAGCGAGGGAUGGAAUGGUGGAAUAGGGAGGGAUGGAGAGGAGAAGACGGAGGGAUGGAAUGGGAGGAGGAAGGCAGGGAUGGAACAGGGGGAGAAGGGAGGGAUGGAAUGAGAGAAGAAGGAUGGAGCAGUGGGAGAAGGGAGGGAUAGAACAGGAGGGGAUGGGAGGGAUGGAAUGGCGGAAUAGGGAGGGAUGGAGAAGGAGAAGACGGAGGGGUGGAAUGAGAGGAGGAAGGCAGGGAUGGAGAAGAGGGAGGGAUGGAGAAGGAGAAGACGGAGGGAUGGAAUGGUAGGAAGAAGGGAUGGAAUGGAGGGAGGAAGGCAGGGAUGGAAGAGGAGAAGGAAGAGAGGGAGGGAUGGAAUGAGAGAAGAGGGAAGGAUGGGAACGGUGGAGUAGGGAGGGAUGGAACUGAGAGCAGAGGCAGGGAUGGAGCAGGAGAAGGAAGGGAUGGAGAGGGAGAGAAGGAAGGCAGGGAAGGAACAGGGAGAGGAGGAAGGGAUGGAGUGGGAGAAAGAAGGGAUGGAGUGGGAGAAAGAAGGGAUGGAGAGAGAGAAGGAAGGGAUGGAGCAGACGAGAUGGGAGGGAUGGAACGGUGGAAAAGGAAAGGAUGGAAUAGGAGAAAAGGAGGGGAUGGAACGGUGGAAAAGGGAGGAAUGGAAUGGGAGAAGGAGGGCAGGGAUGUAACGGGAGAAAAGGCAGGGAUGGGGACAAGGAAAGGAGGGACAGUGGCAUGUGCCACCCCCUGCGGCCACCACACGCCCGGGACACCCCGGCGGGUCCCUGGAGCUGCCGGGGGCUCUGGAACGGCUCUGCCGGAGCUGCUGCUCCUCCCCCGGCAACUGGGGCGGCAGCAGGAGGUGACAUCCCCCGUGCCGGGGGAGGCGGGAGGCGAGCGGGGAUGGAUUGGAAAAUUUGAGGGGAAGUUACUCCCUGUGGAGCCAAGGAGCCGCCAGCAGGAGGGUCACCAGACAGGGAUGGCAUCCAGCCCAGCCCUCAUCCCAAUGAUCCAAGUUCCAAUAGCAAAGCCGAGGGCACACAGGAAGGAGGAAAUAAAAACGGGAAGAAAACCAACGGAGCCCCAAAUGGAUUUUAUGCAGAGAUCGACUGGGACAGAUAUAACUCACCUGAGCUGGAUGAGGAGGGAUACAGCAUCAGACCCGAGGAACCAGGAUCUACCAAAGGAAAGCACUUCUACUCCUCCAGCGAGUCGGAGGAGGAGGAGGAGGCGCACAAGAAGUUCAACAUCAAGAUCAAGCCCCUGCAAGCCAAGGACGCCCUGCGCAGCGCGGCCACCGUGGACGAGCUCCGGGCGUCCGUGGGCAACAUCGCCCUGUCCCCCUCCCCCGUGGUGAGUGUGCCCCCCUCCCCGGCCCCCUGAGCCGCAGGGACCACCCCCAGCUCGGCGGCAGAUCGUGUUCCGCUUGGGGUUUUCUUGGUGGUGGUUUCGGGGUCUGGCUCGCUGGGAUGUGUUGGAGUGUUUGGAGUGGCUUAAAAGUUCCCUUUGCUGCUCGUAAGGCACAUCGGGGUGUAUCGUUCCCGCGUUUUUCUCACCUCUUCUCCUCCUUUUUCAAUGAGGAAAAAAGAGGAAUUUCAAUCAAGGGGGAUUUUUAAUCAUCACCAUUCGGGGUCUUGCCAGGGCAAUCAUCUGUGGGAUUUUCAAUGGGAUUUUUGAUGGGUGUUUCUCACCCUGGAUGUGAAUCCCAAUUCUUGGAGGGUUCUUCCCAUUGAGAGUCUUAUCCUGAUUCCCAAGCCAAUGAAUCCAUCAGUGGGAUUUUCCAUGGGGAUUUUAGAGGUUUAUUUCUCACCCUGGAUGUGAAUCCCAAUUCUUGGAGGAUUCUUCCCAUUGAGAGUCUUACCCUGAUUCCCAAGCCAAUGAAUCCAUCUGUAGGAUUUUCCAUGGGAAUUUGGAGGUGUAUUUCUCACCCUGGAUGUGAAUCCCAAUUCUUGGAGGAUUCUUCCCAUUGAGAGUCUUACCCUGAUUCCCAAGCCAAGGAAAUCAUCUGUAGGAUUUUCCAUGGGAUUUUUGAUGGGUGUUUCUCACCCUGGCAAUGAAUCCCAGUUCCUGGAAGGUUCUUCCCAUUGAGAGUCUUAUCCUGAUUCCCAAGCCAAUGAAUCCAUCAGUGGGAUUUUCCAUGGGGAUUUUAGAGGUUUAUUUCUCACCCUGGAUGUGAAUCCCAAUUCUUGGAGGAUUCUUCCCAUUGAUAGUCUUACCCUGAUUCCCAAGCCAAGGAAAUCAUCUGUAGGAUUUUCCAUGGGAUUUUUGAUGGGUGUUUCUCACCCUGGCAAUGAAUCCCAGUUCCUGGAAGGUUCUUCCCAUUGAGAGUCUUAUCCUGAUUCCCAAGCCA